GCACACCCAAGCCGGGCCACUAACCCCCUGCGAGACAUGAGCCGCCGGCCAAAGUUCCACAUCACGCCGCCGCCAUCUCUCCCCUGCUCGGUUCUGUUCUUCCCUCACGGAAGGUUCGCUCCUCGUCUCUGCAGGAACUGAAAGAUCGAACCGGAGCCGGUAAAUCGUGGACUCCAUGAGGAUCAAGGUGAGUAAUUCGAACUCUAGAGUAUCGAUUUGUCCGCAAGAUUGAAUUGUGAACAUCUAGGAUUGCUUUGCAGGGGUGGGUAAGGAAAUGAUGAAUAUAUUUAGAUUCUUGCACGAAUUUGUCAUCCUACUUCCAAGAUUUAGUUUCAUCAGUAACUGUAGUAACUAAUACAUCCUUUUCAAUUCUUCUAGGUCAGUCAGUCCACUUAGCCGUACUUCAUUAGAUAAAUCGAAGAUAUUCCUAUAAUUAAAUCAAAUCGGUAUAUGUGAUCUAGACACCUCACAUACUUAUUUCAUGGUUGCCCCAUAUGACCCUUCUUUUUUUGCUGAACCUUCUAACUGCUGGUAAAUUAGUGAUAGCAUUUAGAAAUAUGAACAAAAUUAAGCUAUCAACUGACAGUGACAGCUUUUGAAUGUUGCAAUUUUUUUGUGAUAUUUUGAAAUUAUGUACGUCCCUCUACUGAAUGCUUGUAUUACUGCUACACUUAUUGUGAGGAUCAACAUAAUUUAAGUGGAGUCUUUUUACUCUGAAUUGCUCAGUUAUGCUGUCUAAUAAGUGUUCCCUUUGAUGGCUUUGUUUUUUCUGUCCGAUAAGUGUUUAACCGAUGGCACUAUAAUACUCCAUGUUUUACUGUCUCGUAUGUAUUGAACUGAUGGCAAUGACAUUAUAAUUAGAAUGGUGUUCCAGAAGUGUAUCGGAGGUGCUGGAGCACAAUCACAUGAUGAAGAUGUCAACUUACAGUGAGCAUUUUUAAUGAUGCAACUCUGAAGGAGUCAAUUGAUCAUGCUUGCAUUAUGAAAGAUGGAAGCUUUUUGUGGUACUUUGAACUUUUGUAAGUAACUUGAUGUGUUUGUGUUAAAGCUGUUGUACAACAAAAAUUAAAGUGGAUGUUAGUCUCAUCGUAUUACUAUGAAUGGUUGUGUCAUGUGGCAUAACAGUUCAGGACUUGUGGUCCACUUGGUUACUAGCAUCUGAUUUACU
rnacentral:lncRNA from 1 species